rnacentral:rRNA from 1 species
AUUGAACGCUGGCGGCAUGCCUUACACAUGCAAGUCGAACGGCAGCGGGCCUUCGGGUGCCGGCGAGUGGCGAACGGGUGAGUAAUGCAUCGGAACGUGCCAUUGAGUGGGGGAUAACGUAGCGAAAGUUACGCUAAUACCGCAUAUUCUGUGAGCAGGAAAGCAGGGGACCGCAAGGCCUUGCGCUCUUUGAGCGGCCGAUGUCAGAUUAGCUAGUUGGUGAGGUAAAGGCUUACCAAGGCGACGAUCUGUAGCGGGUCUGAGAGGAUGAUCCGCCACACUGGAACUGAGACACGGUCCAGACUCCUACGGGAGGCAGCAGUGGGGAAUUUUGGACAAUGGGGGAAACCCUGAUCCAGCAAUGCCGCGUGUGUGACGAAGGCCUUCGGGUUGUAAAGCACUUUGCGGACGAAACGGACGCUUUCUAAUACAGAGUGCUAAUGACGGUACCGCAGAAUAAGCACCGGCUAACUACGUGCCAGCAGCCGCGGUAAU